AUACAUUGAGACUCUCUCUCUCUCUCUCUCUUCUGAACUUCUCUUCUCUGAACUUCUCCUCUAUUGUUCCUCUCUCUUGACCGUCGCAUCUCUCCAACACCGGCGACCCCGACAAGCUCUCCAACACCGGCGACCCCGACAAGCUCUCCAACCCGGCGACGAUCGAGGUGAAACGCAGCUUCUCUCCGUCAUCAUCUUUCACUCACGACGAGUGCAACUUCUCUCCGUCUACUUGACAGAUCUGUCUACACAGAUUUCGCUUCAUAUUUUUGCAAAUGUCAACUUCAAGUGUUAACGGCAGUACCUCAGAUCAAUUGACGUAUUACAACAGAAAUUGUCCUCAAUGUCGGAAAAUAGCAAUCAUUCUAAUUUCGGAGACGGAACGAAACAAGAAUAAGCUAUUUUAUUGUUGUCCUGAUUGCAGUGGGUUUAUUGCAUGGUGCUUGCCCACAAAUUCACAACGUAGGGAGGAAGGACAAGUGCGAAUGGACAACACACCAACUGUUACCGAACAACUUCAAAGUAUGGGCGAACAUCUUCGAUUUCAAAGUGAACAACAUCAAUUUUAGAACGCGCAGAUGCAAAAAUUGUAAAGAGACAUAAAUAGAAAUUCGUGUUGUAUUAAUGGGAUCUUCAUCUUGCUUGUAAUUGGUGUUAUGUUAAUUAUGAAGAUGCAAUAAUUUUUAUACAAGGUAGAACAUGUAAUUGGUGUUGUAUUAAUUAUGAAGAUGAUAUGUAUGAAGAUUUCUGAUAUAUUACAAUUAUGGAUUGAGAAGUAUGAAUAUGUAAUCAUGUGGAUUGUUUGUUA